GCAAGUUGGAUAAAGCACAAACAAGCAAGUUGUGUAAAUAUGAGCUUACUUUACAUGGGUUGGAUAAAGCACAAACAAGAAAAAAUUACUAGCGUAAAUCUACAAAGUGAAUAAUAAAAAUGAAUUUAGUAUAAAUCUACAAAUCUUAACCUAGCACAAGUGUAUUUAAUUUAUUUGAUUCUCUUACAAUAUCUACUAACUUCCUCCAACCCUGCUAGCGAAUUUUGUCCAAGUACUCUAUUGUUUACCUUAAGUCCUAAUUUUUCUAUCCAGGUGACAAUUGGUAUCAUUAAGGCACCAUAUUAUGCUGAUGAUGAUGUGUUUGUGUGUAUACAUAUAUGCAAGCUGUAAUUCUUAACGGUGAUAAAUUAUAAUAGCAUUGCUGCGGAUUAUCUAUUCAAAGAUUGGGUAACUUACGCGGUUAUGUUGCCUGGUUGAUUAAGAAAUUUGCAUUACAUGCAGUGUCAGAAAACAUUAAUCAGUGACAGUUAAUGUAAUAUAUAUUAUAUGCAUGCACUGUGUCGGAUCGCAUAAUGCUACUAGUUGCUGAAGGUCUGCAGUUACCUGUGCAGGGAAUAGUUAUACCUAAUUGACUUAUUAUUUGAAUGUGUUGCCAAAGUGAAUUAAUUAUCCUUAAAAAGUUUUGAGAUUUUCUGAUUGCUCAGCUGUUGACAUUUUCAGUAGCUGGGAUGUGGUUAUUGUGUAAACACAGUAGAAAGUACAAUAACUACUGAUAAAUAAUAUUUUGUGUACGGGAGGGCUGCACAGAGCACAACAGGUCCUGUUACAGUAUCAGUUCUUAGUUCACUGGUAUCAUGUAUUAGAUCCCCGGCAAUCUGUCUAAUCAAGGAAAUGUUGGGAAUGCUACAGAAAUGAGUGGUCACCGUCAACAAGCUCAAGUUGAUGGUGAAGGAAGAAGAGAACUGUAGUCCAAGGACUAAGAAGGGAGUGGAGCAGUACCCAAGGGUAGAGGACAUGCUGGGCCAGAUUGCAUGGGGCUGGGUUCAAUGUUGAUGGUAGAAGUUCAUAAGAAUGACUAUCCUCUACUGGAACUAUGGGGGUGAAAGACUUUUAAAAGUUGCAGGUUUAUUCGUCCAGGACUAGACGGUGGUCUGAUCACCAUGCCAUGGUCAGUCAAAUUGGAGAUCUUUUUCAGGGCGGGAUCGUGAAAAAUCAGAAAGGACUGAAUUCUAUUUGUUUUGGUUUCCCCUUUCAGCAAUAAUUAGACUUGGUAAUGUUGGUGUAGUCACGUAACUUGGUGAAGAGUUCUGUUUAUUUUUGAAGUACUAGUUCUAUUUCAACUGCACAGAUAGUAAUAGUAUCAUUUUCCUAGCUAUAUGUUUCUUACAUGAGUAGAGAUCUGAGAGAACUGAAUGUUUAGCUUCUUAUGUUGCUAUGUUAUAUGAAUGGGUGUUUCAGUGUCAAAUUUUGGACCUCUUUGAUGCUGGAGAUAAUAGUGAUCCAUACUUACGAAAUUUUUUAUGUUAUGAUUUCAUUAUUGCCUUCAUUCUUAUGAGUUAUGGCAUGUUUAUGUGUUUGAGCUGAGUUGUCUUGUUUAUGUAGUAAUCACUUUAUGGUUUUGGUCCAUAUCGGCCCCAUUCUGGUCCAUUCCAUGUCGUUCCAAAGACUAAACAUAACCUGUCCUCUCUACAGUUCAUUGAGAUAUGUGAUCCCGCUCUUUGGUCCGUUCUAAUAUUGAACUUUGUGUAUCCUUCGCACUAUAGAAGUUAGAAUAGUUCAAAAUUGCGACAAUCUAAUAUUUGCUGAAUCCCCCGUUACCGAAAUUGCUACCCGGGGAUCUGGUAGCAAGUAAGAAAGGAAGUUCUUCCAUACAUCUUAAUUCUCUAAACCAACAACACUACUGUAUAAUCUGGUAUUUCAAAGGCAUAUGUAUGUGUACACGGUACUGGUUCAAAGCUAUAUGAACUGAAAUUGAACAAUUUAAACUGUAACAAGUGCCUUACUACAUGUUAUAUACUUUAUAUACAUUGACAAUGACUA